CGCUGGCGGCGUGGAUAAGACAUGCAAGUCGAGCGAGGUUACUUUUGGUAGCAAUACUAGAAGUAACUUAGCGGCGAACGGGUGCGUAACACGUGGACAAUCUGCCAUAAAGUGGGGGAUAGCUCGGCGAAAGCCGAAUUAAUACCGCAUGUGAUCAGAGGGGACAUCCCUUCGAAAUCAAAGCCGGGGCAACCUGGCGCUUUUUGUGGAGUCCGCGGCCUAUCAGCUUGUUGGUGAGGUAACGGCUCACCAAGGCUUUGACGGGUAGCUGGUCUGAGAGGACGACCAGCCACACUGGAACUGAGACACGGUCCAGACACCUACGGGUGGCAGCAGUCGAGAAUUUUUCUCAAUGGGGGAAACCCUGAAGGAGCGACGCCGCGUGGAGGAUGAAGGUCUUCGGGUUGUAAACUCCUGUCAUUUGGGAACAAGUCGUACGUAGUAACUAUACGUGCGUUGAUAGUACCAGAAGAGGAAGAGACGGCUAACUCUGUGCCAGCAGCCGCGGUAAUACAGAGGUCUCAAGCGUUGUUCGGAUUCAUUGGGCGUAAAGGGUGCGUAGGUGGCGUCGUAAGUCGGGUGUGAAAUUUCGGAGCUUAACUCCGAAACUGCAUUCGAUACUGCGGUGCUUGAGGACUGGAGAGGAGACUGGAAUUUACGGUGUA
rnacentral:rRNA from 1 species